UCUACUAAUUGCCAAAUCAAAAGAAAAAUUUCAGCCUUCAUCGGUUUGGAAUUUUCUGCUACAUUUGACAGUGUUGAUUACUUUCUCCUUGAAACUCUUCACUACCUUGGUUGCCAUGGCAACCCACUCUCCUAGUUGUUUGUCGCAUCUCUCAGGUCCUUCCUUCUCUCUCCUUUGUCAC